GGACCCGCACAAGUAGUGGAGCAUGUGGUUUAAUUCGAAGAUACGCGCAGAACCUUACCAACACUUGACAUGUUCGUCGCGACCUUAAGAGAUUAAGGUUUUCGGUUCGGCCGGACGAAACACAGGUGCUGCAUGGCUGUCGUCAGCUCGUGUCGUGAGAUGUUGGUUAAGUCCCGCAACGAGCGCAACCCUCACUUUUAGUUGCCAUCAUUAAGUUGGGCACUCUGAAAGAACUGCCAGUGAUAAGCUGGAGGAAGGUGGGGAUGACGUCAAGUCCUCAUGGCCCUUACGUGUUGGGCUACACACGUGCUACAAUGGUAUCUACAACAGGAAGCAAGACGGCGACGUUAAG
rnacentral:rRNA from 1 species